AUUGAACGCUGGCGGCAGGCCUAACACAUGCAAGUCGAACGAGUGGCGGACGGGUGUGUAAUGUCUGGGAAACUGCCCGAUGGGGGGGGAUAACUACGGGAAACGGUAGCUAAUACCGCAUACCAUCGGAUGUCCCCAGAGGGGAUUCGCUUGUGGGUGGGGAAAGGGCUCACAUAGGCGACGAUCCCUAGCUGGUCUGAGAGGGUGACCAGCCACACUGGAACGGAGACACGGUCCAGACUCCUACGGGAGGCAGCAGUGGGGAAUAUUGCACAAUGGGCGCAAUCCUGAUGCAGCCAUGCCGCGUGUAUGAAGAAGGCCUUCGGGUUGUAAAGUACUUUCAGCGAGGAGGCGUUACUCGCAGAAGAAGCACCGGCUAACUCCGUGCCAGCAGCCGCGGUAAUUC
rnacentral:rRNA from 1 species